CCUUGAACUGUUGUCCCUCAUCAUAUCACCCUCCCUUGGAGCAAACUGAUUAUGAGCAGAAACCUCCACAAACUGUGAAAGAAGAGAUGGCUUGUGAAUCAGGGUCAAGUAACCUGCACUCAAAAAGCCAAUGCAUGAUUGUGGGUGAUCAUCUGUCAACAGCAAGAUAUUGUGGAGGAGAUCUUGUCUGUAGAAGAGGAUGAGAAAAAGGGAGAGAAACCCCUUACUUCAAAUGAGAUUAGGGAGAUGUGGGAAACUGGAAAAUUUAGCAAAAAAGCACCACCCCUGUAGCAGUGUGAGCUACAAAUCUGUUUAACAACAGUGAGGUGUCACAUUUCCAUGAAAUCCUUCAAAUGAUGCAAAAAAUACAUGGCAAUGGGUAUGUUCCUUGUUAAAGCUGCAUGAAAUAAAGACUCCAUUGAGCCAAGAGAUAGCAGUGAUUCUAUCAGUGAUAUGGAAAGGGACUGAAAAUAGCCCUUUUCUCUGUCUCUUUCACAAGAGCCACAAAGAUUUU